CGUAUACUCGACCUGCCGUAGUGUAGUACGAAUGGGGCGACAGGACGUCGCCCCAAGCCGAGGGGGCACAGGACGUGCCCUCCAAGGCGGUUCGUACGAAACAGGCAGGUCGAGUAUACG
rfam:Dethiosulfovibrio salsuginis strain TSBA 82 genome assembly, contig: Ga0105850_148